AGGGCAAGGGGUCCCCGGCCGAGGCUCUCCGGAGGUUGGUACGCCGCUUUGGGGAGCGAGGCUUCUGUGCGGGAUUGCGAUGCAUGCCGAGAGCCGGCCUCAGACCUGCAUCCACCCUCCGCUGCACUGUAUGGGUUUGAGGCUAAGAUGUUUAGCCCGGAAUUCACUUACUUGUACCCCCAGAGACCUGAUCCCCUAGUGAUGGACAUUUGUUUCCAGUCUUUUGUGAUUAUAAAGAAAGCAGCAAUGGAUACCCCUGGGGUCAAAAGGUCCAUGGCCAUCAGAAAAACCCAGAGAAGCAGACCCGUCCUGCUGUGAACCCAAAAUCCUUUGUCCUAGAACUUGGUGAGGCCGUUAACAGAAUUAGUUGAAUUUUAGACAGAGAAUUUGAGCUGCUAGUGGAAUAUCCACAUGGAGAUGCCAAUAAGAAGCCUAACUAUAGGAAUCAGUAUUGGAAACACCACAUCAGUUCACAGCUAGAAAUCAACUUUGAGAGUCCUCAGCAUCCAGUGUGUGGCUUAUACCAUGAGUAUCUAGGUAAGAAACUAUCUCCCUCUCUGGAGAGGGACUGAGGACAGGCCCUGGAGAUGAACAACAUUUCAGAGACAGGAAGUCGUGAAACGUGAGAAUUAGUAAGCAUGUCACUUUAAUCUCUAAGUAAAGACUAGUAACAUUUGAUAACCAAAAAAUGGCUCUGACCAGGUCAGCUAAAUUAUAGUGCCUUGGAAGAUCUGGAAUAAAUCCGUAAUCACAUUCACCUCCUGGAAAACUUUAUCAUAAGACCGUUUUUACUUAGAAGCAGAUUAAUGGCAUCAAAAAGCCAUAAAAUAACCUUGAAUGCUUAUUACCCUUACUUUAGAUCCCUGCAUGUAGGAUGUAACUUUGUAACAAUCCCAAAUCUACACAUCAUGUGCAACCAAUAGAAAGCCUGAUGAAGUAAUUAGGUGGGGCUGUCUUUCUGUCUCUCUCCUUCAGCCAUUCCCCCUUCUUGUGACUGUAAAAUGCUAAGCUCUGCUGGUUCUCUUCGGAACACAUUUCUUGGGGUGGCCUUACUGUGGGUCUCCCUGGUUGCAAUUGUCAUAUUGGCUCAAUAAAUCGUUGCCAUAUGUA